rnacentral:rRNA from 1 species
AACGAACGCUGGCGGCAGGCUUAACACAUGCAAGUCGAACGAGAUCUUCGGAUCUAGUGGCGCACGGGUGAGUAACGCGUGGGAAUCUACCUUGGAGUCUGGGAUAACAGUUGGAAACGACUGCUAAUACCGGAUACGCCCUUAGGGGGAAAGGUUUACUGCUCCGAGAUGAGCCCGCGUCCAAUUAGGUGGUUGGUGAGGUAAAGGCUCACCAAGCCGACGAUUGGUAGCUGGUCUGAGAGGAUGACCAGCCACACUGGGACUGAGACACGGCCCAGACUCCUACGGGAGGCAGCAGUGGGGAAUAUUGGACAAUGGGGGCAACCCUGAUCCAGCCAUGCCGCGUGAGUGAUGAAGGCCUUAGGGUUGUAAAGCUCUUUCGCCGGUGACGAUGAUGACGGUAACCGGAGAAGAAGCCCCGGCUAACUUCGUGCCAGCAGCCGCGG